rnacentral:rRNA from 1 species
GGGAAUAUUGGACAAUGGGCGCAAGCCUGAUCCAGCCAUGCCGCGUGAGUGAUGACGGCCUUAGGGUUGUAAAGCUCUUUCGCACGCGACGAUAAUGACGGUAGCGUGAGAAGAAGCCCCGGCUAACUUCGUGCCAGCAGCCGCGGUAAUACGAAGGGGGCUAGCGUUGUUCGGAAUUACUGGGCGUAAAGCGCGUGUAGGCGGGCUUUUAAGUCAGGGGUGAAAUGCCGAGGCUCAACCUCGGAACUGCCUCUGAUACUGGAAGUCUUGAGUCCGGAAGAGGUGAGUGGAACUGCGAGUGUAGAGGUGAAAUUCGUAGAUAUUCGCAAGAACACCAGUGGCGAAGGCGGCUCACUGGUCCGGAACUGACGCUGAGACGCGAAAGCGUGGGGAGCAAACA